rnacentral:rRNA from 1 species
UUGGCCCAAGCGGGUGGAGCAUGGGGUUUAAUUGGACGCAACGGGAAGAACCUUACCUGGGCUUGAACUGCUAUGGACCGGCGCAGAGAUGUGCCUUUUCGCAAGAACCGUAGCAGAGGUGCUGCAUGGCUGUCGUCAGCUCGUGUCGUGAGAUGUUGGGUUAAGUCCCGCAACGAGCGCAACCCUUACCCCUAGUUGCCACCGCGUCAUGGCGGGAACUUUACGGGGACUGCCCGGGUUAACCGGGAGGAAGGUGGGGAUGAUGUCAAGUCCUCAUGGCCCUUAUGUCCAGGGCUACACACGUGUACCAAUGGGCGACCAAACCGUCCAAAGUCGCGAGAUGGAGCAAAUCGGAGAAAGUCGUCCCCAGUUCGGAUUGUAGUCUCCAAYUGGACUCCAUAAAUGGGAUUCGUUGGAUC